rnacentral:rRNA from 1 species
GAUGAACGCUGGCGGCGUGCCUAAUACAUGCAAGUCGAGCGAACAGACCAGGAUCUUGCUCCUCUCACGUUAGCGGCUGACGGGUGAGUAACACGUGGAUAACCUACCUAUAAUACUGGGAUAACUUCGAGACACCGGAGCUAAUACCAGAUAAUAUAUUGAACCGCAUUGUUCAAUAGUGAAACACGGCUUUGCCGUCACUUAUAGAUGGUUCCGCGCCGCAUUAGCUAGUUGGUAAGGUAACGGCUUACCAAGGCAGCGAUGCGUAGCCGACCUGAGAGGGUGGUCAGCCACACUGGAACUGAGACAGGGUCCGGACGCCUUCGGUAGGGAGCAGGAGGGAACAUUACGCAAUGGGCGGAAGCGUGACGUAGUGAGACCGAGCGAGUUAUGAAGAUGAUGGGUUCGUAAAAAUCUGUUGUUAGGGAGGAACAGAUGGCUACGUAAGCUAACAUGUAUUGACGGUAACUAAGCAAAAAGCUACGGCUAACUACGUG